rnacentral:tRNA from 2 species
GAGAUUUUAACUUAAUUAAAGUAUCUGGGUUGCAUUCAGAAUAUGUAAGAUAAUCUUGCAAGUCUUA